AAUCAACGCUGGCGGCGUGACUCAGACAUGCAAGUCGAACGAUUAAGACUUCCUUCGGGAAGUGUAUAAAGUGGCGCACGGGUGAGUAACACGUAAGUAAUCUACCUUCGAGUGGGGAAUAACAUCGGGAAACCGAUGCUAAUACCGCAUAAUGCAGCGGCAUCGCAAGAUGACAGUUGUUAAAGGAGCAAUUCGCUUGAAGAGGAGCUUGCGGCAGAUUAGCUAGUUGGUAAGGUAAUGGCUUACCAAGGCUACGAUCUGUAUCCGGUCUAAGAGGACGGUCGGGCAAACAGACACUGAAUAACGGGUCAGACUCCUACAGGAGGCAGCAGUCUGUAAUUUUGAUCAAUGGCGAAAGCCUGACCCAGCAACGCCGCGUGAGGGAUGAAGUAUUUCGGUAUGUAAACCUCGAAAGAAUGGGAAGAAUAAAUGACGGUACCAUUUAUAAGCUCCGGCUAACUACGUGCCAGCCGCCGCUGUAACAC
rnacentral:rRNA from 1 species